AUUGAACGCUGGCGGCAGGCCUAACACAUGCAAGUCGAGCGGGGUUUUCGGACCUAGCGGCGGACGGGUGAGUAAUGCGUAGGAAGCUGCCCGAGAGAGGGGGAUACCAGUUGGAAACGACUGUUAAUACCGCAUAAUGUCUACGGACCAAAGUGUGGGACCUUCGGGCCACAUGCUAUCGGAUGCGCCUACGUGGGAUUAGCUAGUUGGUGAGGUAAUGGCUCACCAAGGCGACAAUCUCUAGCUGGUUUGAGAGGAUGAUCAGCCACACUGGAACUGAGACACGGUCCAGACUCCUACGGGAGGCAGCAGUGGGGAAUAUUGGACAAUGGGCGCAAGCCUGAUCCAGCCAUGCCGCGUGUGUGAAGAAGGCCUUCGGGUUGUAAAGCACUUUCAGCGAGGAGGAAGGGGUGUGUGUUAAUAGUACACACCUUUGACGUUACUCGCAGAAGAAGCACCGGCUAACUCUGUGCCAGCAGCCGCGGUAACAC
rnacentral:rRNA from 1 species